rnacentral:rRNA from 1 species
UACAGAGGUCUCAAGCGUUGUUCGGAUUCAUUGGGCGUAAAGGGUGCGUAGGCGGCGCGGUAAGUCGGGUGUGAAAUCUCGGAGCUUAACUCCGAAACUGCAUUCGAUACUGCCGUGCUUGAGGACUGGAGAGGAGACUGGAAUUUACGGUGUAGCGGUGAAAUGCGUAGAUAUCGUAAGGAAGACCAGUGGCGAAGGCGGGUCUCUGGACAGUUCCUGACGCUGAGGCGCGACAGCGUGGGGAGCGAACUGG